rfam:Trichobilharzia regenti genome assembly, scaffold: TRE_scaffold0000749
GUACUGCUGAAGAGUCCCGAACUGGGACGAAACAGCUGUCCAGUAC